rnacentral:rRNA from 1 species
UGCUGGAGGUAUCAGAAGUGCGAAUGCUGACAUAAGUAACGAUAAAGCGGGUGAAAAGCCCGCUCGCCGGAAGACCAAGGGUUCCUGUCCAACGUUAAUCGGGGCAGGGUGAGUCGACCCCUAAGGCGAGGCCGAAAGGCGUAGUCGAUGGGAAACGGGUUAAUAUUCCCGUACUUGGUGUUACUGCGAAGGGGGGACGGAGAAGGCUAUGUUGGCCGGGCGACGGUUGUCCCGGUUUAAGCGUGUAGGUGUGUGUUCCAGGUAAAUCCGGUUCACUUUAACACUGAGGCGUGACGACGAGGCACUACGGUGCUGAAGCAACAAAUGCCCUGCUUCCAGGAAAAGCCUCUAAGCAUCAGGUAACAUCAAAUCGUACCCCAAACCGACACAGGUGGUCAGGUAGAGAAUACCAAGGCGCUUGAGAGAACUCGGGUGAAGGAACUAGGCAAAAUGGUGCCGUAACUUCGGGAGAAGGCACGCUGACACGUAGGUGAAGUGAUUUACUCAUGGAGCUGAAGUCAGUCGAAGAUACCAGCUGGCUGCAACUGUUUAUUAAAAACACAGCACUGUGCAAACACGAAAGUGGACGUAUACGGUGUGACGCCUGCCCGGUGCCGGAAGGUUAAUUGAUGGGGUCAGCGCAAGCGAAGCUCCUGAUCGAAGCCCCGGUAAACGGCGGCCGUAACUAUAACGGUCCUAAGGUAGCGAAAUUCCUUGUCGGGUAAGUUCCGACCUGCACGAAUGGCGUAAUGAUGGCCAGGCUGUCUCCACCCGAGACUCAGUGAAAUUGAACUCGCUGUGAAGAUGCAGUGUACCCGCGGCAAGACGGAAAGACCCCGUGAACCUUUACUAUAGCUUGACACUGAACAUUGAGCCUUGAUGUGUAGGAUAGGUGGGAGGCUUUGAAGCGUGGACGCCAGUCUGCGUGGAGCCGACCUUGAAAUACCACCCUUUAAUGUUUGAUGUUCUAACGUGGACCCGUGAUCCGGGUUGCGGACAGUGUCUGGUGGGUAGUUUGACUGGGGCGGUCUCCUCCUAAAGAGUAACGGAGGAGCACGAAGGUUGGCUAAUCCUGGUCGGACAUCAGGAGGUUAGUGCAAUGGCAUAAGCCAGCUUGACUGCGAGCGUGACGGCGCGAGCAGGUGCGAAAGCAGGUCAUAGUGAUCCGGUGGUUCUGAAUGGAAGGGCCAUCGCUCAACGGAUAAAAGGUACUCCGGGGAUAACAGGCUGAUACCGCCCAAGAGUUCAUAUCGACGGCGGUGUUUGGCACCUCGAUGUCGGCUCAUCACAUCCUGGGGCUGAAGUAGGUCCCAAGGGUAUGGCUGUUCGCCAUUUAAAGUGGUACGCGAGCUGGGUUUAGAACGUCGUGAGACAGUUCGGUCCCUAUCUGCCGUGGGCGCUGGAGAACUGAGGGGGGCUGCUCCUAGUACGAGAGGACCGGAGUGGACGCAUCACUGGUGUUCGGGUUGUCAUGCCAAUGGCACUGCCCGGUAGCUAAAUGCGGAAGAGAUAAGUGCUGAAAGCAUCUAAGCACGAAACUUGCCCCGAGAUGAGUUCUCCCUGAGACUUAGAGUCUCCUGAAGGAACGUUGAAGACGACGACGUUGAUAGGCCGGGUGUGUAAGCGCAGCGAUGCGUUGAGCUAACCGGUACUAAUGAACCGUGAGGCUUAACCUU